AACCGGCUACCGCGCCGUCAUCCAGCAGCCUCUACUGGAAAGACAACGGUGGCGGCGGCGGGGAGCUGCUGGGGGGCGCGGAGAGACCGCGGCCAUCUGGGGCCGGGAAGGAGAAAGCCAGGCAGAGUCUGAUGGAGUCUGCCUCCGGCCUGCCUUCCUCUGGGCCUUCGAAGCCCCCUCUCAAAAGGCCAGGACGCGCUGGGCCCAAGAAAGACACCCGUCUUCACAGGCCAACCAGAACUCUGGCCACCUGCGGGAGGACGGCACUGUCCCUUGCGACCCGGCCCAGGAGCCGUCCUCCUCCACAGCCUCCUCGAGGAUAGCGAGCCCGAAUUCCACGCGGGCGAUGAGCCCCGAAGCGCGCGGUUGCCUCUGCCCCUCCCGAACCGAGAAGGAAAGAGGGGAGAGGGAAACAGGAGUCUGAUGGAGGGGAGAGAAAUGGAAUUCCAGAGGCAGCCCACGGGCAGACACCUGCAAGAAUGGCUGUGUUCUGGCCCUGAAGUUCUUAAUAGUGAGGGCCCAGGAUAGUUCCCUUGGGGCUGUGGGAAAAGAGGGAAGUUCACGCUCUCAGAUGUUGGAGGAAUUGGAAGCCGGAGGUGUGAUUUCUUGGCCUCCAGCAGAAACUUGGUUACAGUGGCCACGUUCUUUCUCUCUCUGAUUGGGGGUUUGCUUUGGAAAGUUCUCAUGUUCCUGGAGGAGCUGUCCUCCCCUCGCGUGCUGAUAAGGGAUGAAAAGAAGUUCUGCUGGCGUCCCAGAACUGCAAGGGCAGGCGAAAGUUUAAGAAUAUAAAGGAGUAUCGGACCUUAAAAAGAAACGCUUAAAGGGUAGGGUAGGGAGAGGUUACCAGGGUGUGCCACUGUGGGAAGAGGCUACAAUAUCGAAUUUUUUUUAUAUGCUGCAGCUGAGAUUGCCGCCGAAACGCACUUCCUAAUUCGCAGUGACCUUCUUAACACUUCUCCUUUCCUCCUCCUAGGUUAGUACAGUUCCCAGCCCAAUCUGAUUGUCUAAACAUUCAGUGAGUUAAUUCAAUAUCUCCACCCAGAAGUUGCCCCAGUACUAGUGUGGUGCGGCAAAAAGAACAGUGAAGUCAAAAACCCCAAUUGUGAAUUCUGGCCCUGUAACUUCGUAGCUCUGAGAAUUUGGACAAGUCACUCAAUCUCUCUGCUCUUCUGUUUUCUGAUAUGUGCGAUAUCAUCUCAAAAAUUUCUUCCAGCUCCUGAGAUAUUAGUGACAAAAUCAUCACAAGUUAUUUUUUCAGCCCUUCUAAAUAUAGCUUCAUAUAAUGUAAUAUAUUGAAGUAAAUAAUCUAGAAACAUGUGAAAUGACCAAUUCCUCUCACAAUGAAGAUGUGCAUCAGAAAUAAAAAACAAAGAACAUGUUUCUUUUAAUAAGCAAAAUAGACCCAUUCUCAGACUUAUGAUCAGAAAUAAGACUGACUCAAAGUUUUCCUCUUCCAAACAGCUGCCUCUUAUUUAAUUAAAAACUACUCUUCUAGGUCUUCAAAUGUUUACUGUGUAUAAUAUUAGACUUUGUAAAUAUUUCAGUCCAUUUUAUGUGCUCAUAUUUUAUCACCAACUACUAAUUAUUGCCUAUAUUAGAAUAAUGUUUUUCUGUUUAUUCAUUACUUUCACAUACUUUAUUUCAUUUAAUCAUGACCACACCCAUGAGUUGAAAAGCAGGUCCUGUCUUCUAGGUUUUACAGACGGUGAAAUGGGAUUCGUGGAGGUAUGAUAACUUGCCCACAGCUUCGGUGUAACUCUUUUAACUCAAUACCCAGCUCUCUCCACAACACUAGCUGCCUAUGUGAAAUAGAAUAUUUCUGCUUCAGACCAGGAAUGGUUUCCUUUUUCUAAUUUAUUCCUUCCACAAUGUCAGUACUAUUCUCAACAGAGGAGACUCAAAUUUAGUUGACUAGUUAGGACUAUUUUUGGUACAUGGAUGUGAUUAAUAUGCUUUUACACUGUUAGCACUUCAAAGUGUCCUUACAUGCAUUAUCUCAAUUAAGGUCAUGACAAUCACAUAAGAUCAUCAAAAGAGGUUUAUUCAGCCCUGCUGAACAGAUGAGGAAACUGAGACCAAAAGACAUUAAGGCCACAACUACCCAGGCCCUGGAUUUCCAGGCCAAGUGUUUCCCCUAUAGCCCACACUGUGUGUUUUUGUUCAAGGGUUGCAAUUAGAAUGACUGCAGGGAACAGUAAGACAGAAUACAUGACACCAUCAGUAUAAAUAUACAGUCAUGCAUUGCUUAACAACAGAAAUACAUUCUGAGAAAUGUGUCUUUAGGUGAUUUCAUCCUUGUGCAAACACCAUAAAGUAUACUUAAACAAACA
rnacentral:lncRNA from 10 species